UAUGUCAGCAGUUAAUUUUUAUCAUUUUCUUGCACUAUGUACAUCCGUAUAAACCUCUACCCCUCUACCUCUGUAUCUCAUUAGAAGUAAUUUGGUCUUGUGAUGGUUGCUUUAAUUAUUUGUAUUUGGCUUCAUGGCAUAUUUUAAUAUUUUGUUUUGAAUUGAAUGCUUGUUUUUUUUUGGAUCCCAGAAAUUAUGUUGUCCAAUACGUUAUACAGGAGAUCCCUUUAGCUGCUGCCGGCUUGAUUUCUCAGUUUGAAGGGCACUAUGUGCACCUCUCGAUGCAAAAAUUCAGCAGUCAUGUUGUUGAAAAAUGCCUCAAACAUUUUGAAGAGAGCCGUCCAAGAAUCAUCCAUGAAUUGCUUUCAGUGCCUCACUUUGAACAGUUGCUGCAAGACCCUUUUGCCAACUAUGUCAUUCAAUCUGCACUUGAAGUUAGCAAGGAACAAUACUGGGCUCCUCCAAACUUCAGACGAUCAUUGUCAGUGAAAUUGAAGUUUUUGGCUGCUAGUAGGAAAUUAAUUAAGGUGAUGUUUAUGUUCGUCCAUCUGCAAAAAUACAUCCAACUGCUAAGAUUGGCCCUAAUGUUUCAAUCUCAGCAAAUGUUCGUAUAGCAGCAGGUGUAAGGCUUAUAAGUUGCAUCAUCUUAGAUGAUGUUUAAAUAAAGGAAAAUGCAGUAGUUAUGCAUGCUAUUGUUGGAAGGAAAUCAUCUAUUGGGAAAUGGUCGCGUGCCUAGGAGACUACAAUGCCAAGCUUGGAAUCACCAUCCUUGGAGAAGCUGUGACAGUUGAAGAUGAAGUCAUGGUGACUAACAGCAUCGUGCUCCCAAACUAGACCCUUAAUGUUAGUGUACAGGAGGAUAUCAUUCUGUGAGGACAAGGAACCAAGAUCCGGCUGGAAUUCAAUGCAGUGUUUAGUUGUGAUUCUUGAAUUUUUUUUUUUAUUGUCAGAGUAAUUAUAGAUUUUUAUGUCAAAAGAGCACUUAUUGAUAGAUACAAUAGUAAAUUGUGUUACUGAAGUAGAGUUUCAGUAGGGAACAAUUUUUGCCACAACACAUGAUUUUUUUUUUUUGGAACACAACACAUGAUGUUUGAGAAAGCUGAAUGCCUUUUUAUAAACUAUAUUUAUAGAAAGUGAAAGUUGACAGCUUGAAACUCUUCUGUUAGGAGGAAAGCAAAUUUAGAAUUUCAAAUGACUUUUCUAUUUUUCAAUCUUUCAGGCACAUUUGCAGUUUUGCCUUUGUGUAAUGGAACAACUUGCACAAGCCAAUCUUCAAACACACACUUCAAAAUAACAAACCUAACCUAGUUACUCUUACAACCAAGCCCAAACUGCUACACAUUGAGUAAAUUCCGUGCAGCAAGAAGAGCCACUCGAAGUCGAUUUCCUCCCUUUUGUUGAAGUUGAUUUCAUCUGUUUUUUGCAGCAACAAGAAGGAUAAAAGAUGGAAAUGCUGAAACACUCUAUCCUAGAUCAUCCUUUGCCAUCAAUUGUACUGGU